rnacentral:lncRNA from 1 species
GGGAAGGGCGAUGGGCAGUGACGCGGGGGCAGGCUGGCGGUCAGCGCGCACGCGGCACGCGGGGAGGUGGAGGGGAUGGGGGAGAGACGGGCGCCGGCGGCCAUGGCGGAGAGGCGAGCCAUGGCCGGAAGCGUCGGGGGGAGGACGGGGGAUGGCGGACGGAGGCGCGCGUCGGGAGCUGGAGCGGUGUCGGGAGGAGGACGGGGAGGAGGAGCAAGAGAGGCGGAAGAGGGAGACAGCAGCGGCGGAGGAGGAGGCCGUUCCCGCGACCGCCGCUCGCCAUUUCCUCCGCGCCCACCUUCUGUCCUGGCGGCCUCCCGCCUCAGCGUCGUGCCCGUCACAGCCUACCGGUUGCCUGCUGCACAGAGGGGCGGGCGGCAAACGGUGGACGACGUCGCGUGAGAGCGGGCAGUGGGCGUCGGACGGCGAUGCGCGGGGGCGGGCGGCAGCGGCGCGGGAAGAGCGUGGCGAGCAGGUGGUGUUAAUUCCCCAUGAAGAUGACGACGCUCUUGCACCUGGAGAAGAAGACCGGGGAGCAGCAAACGUAGGUGGUCUCUACGAGCUGUACGCGGCGUUGCCGCCAUGCGGAGAAGGAGGAGGGGGCUGGAGUGGGCCUUCUUCAUAUGCUGUAGCUGGACGAGCGGUAUUGGUCAAUGCAGUCCUCCGAGUCGUAGGCGAGCUCGCGGAGCUGCUUCAUCCACUCCAGGACGAAGUGGUCCACGGUGCCGUCGUCGGCCUCGGAUUGCAUGCGGUGGAGGGUGUUCAUGGUGACCAGCUCGGCGACCUCGCUACCGACGCCGUUGAGCUGCCUGUAUUCCUCGGUCAGCAACUGACCAACGUUGCUUAC